GGAGGAGGAGCGGGCGCCUCUUCCUGGACAGGCGGACUAGUGGGGCUUCACACUCCGGGGUGAGAGCAGAGGAUGAGGGGCGAGUGGAAGGAGACGCCCCUCCGUCACAUUCCCAAGUCUAUUUGUGAUGUUUUUGAAAAACAUAUGAAGGACCUACAGAGAGGCUCGUGAGUCCAAAGCCCUGCUACGUAAAUACUGGCCGAAACGCUUGUUUCGCACACAGCUUCCACGCCCAUGAAACCACCCUGUACAUUUUCAACCUUGACCACAAGGAUAAGCGAGUGACAGGAUGGUGCCCGCUCCGCAGAACAGGAAAAUGGGCACCUCGUUCCCCACGAAGGGGACCCAGCCUGGGUGUCGCGGCAGAACCUAGUUACUCGCUUUCCUUGCGCUAUUAGUCUCAACACAAGCAAACGCUCCCCAAAGUUUUGUUUUGUUUUGUUUUUUUAAAGGUGACCUAUAAACAAACAUUUUGUUCCUGCCUUAUCCAGCGGGCAUUAAAGACCUACGAAUGUGACAUUUGCCACCCUACUUAAUGCUAUCCGUUUUUCCGCUCCAGCCCUGGCCCAUUCGGGGCCCGACCCCCUUUCUACCCUGGGUAUAUCCAACCCCCUCAACCUCCAGCGCUUGGGCACUGCAGGAUGCUCGCGGAGACAGCAGUCUGGGCGCUGGGCAUGCUCAGAGCUCUCGCCAGUCUGCGGGGAGCGCGCCUCGGCCUAAUGCGGGAAGAGGGGCGGGCCCAUCUUCUCGCGUUUGCCUGCUGACUGGCUAGGCUGCCUGUCUUUCAAGCCUUGCACAGCAGCGGUGGAGGGGAGUGAGGGUACCAACGUCGUAGGUUGCAAAACGUAUUGGGGGGGGGGAGACAUAGGCGCCAUUCAGCAGCCUGCGGUACGUGAAUUGGGGUAUCCCGCAUCUGCAAGGGCUGUCUCCUCAGGAAAGCCUGGGGGGUGGGGAGAACCUGUUUCUCCUCUUCUCUGCCUUUGCAGUCUCUUCCAGACCUGGUUAAUAUAUUAUCUGGGUACACAUGUUGAAUCCAGAGCCCUCCCUUCUUUUCCUCUGACAGCUUGGUGAUGUGGGCACACGUGCCCACUACAGCAAGGCUAUAAAUAGCAGAUAAUUUGGAAAAGGUAACGAGGCGGCAAUAACAAGAAUCGAAUUCUGAGGACAUAAAGGGGUUUAGGGGGAGGGGAGUAGAGCCGCCUGGAGUUGUAGAAGGGUGGCCGCGGGAGGUUUUAUCCUAGGCAAGAAAACACAAAGAUAAUAACACGCACAGUUGUUUACUGGCAACAGUGAAAUCUAGAUAGGCCAAAGGGCUUUUUGUUUAGCGAUGGGUGAGGGGCGGGCAGGUAUUUCACAUUUUGUAGGAAACCAAACUCAUACAGCCUUUCACUUUCAAAAUGACCUCCUCCCUGUUUCUCCCUCCCAGCCACCCCCCC